UACGUAGGUGGCUAGCGUUGUCCGGAUUUACUGGGCGUAAAGCGCGCGCAGGCGGUCGUUCAAGUCGAGUGUGAAAGCCCCCGGCUCAACUGGGGAGGGUCACUCGAUACUGAUCGACUCGAAGGCAGGAGAGGGUAGUGGAAUUCCCGGUGUAGUGGUGAAAUGCGUAGAUAUCGGGAGGAACACCAGUGGCGAAGGCGGCUCACUGGACCGGAACUGACGCUGAGGCGCGAAAGCGUGGGGAGCAAACAGG
rnacentral:rRNA from 1 species